GAUGAACGCUGGCGGCAUGCCUAAUACAUGCAAGUCGAGCGAACAGACGAGGAGCUUGCUCCUCUGACGUUAGCGGCGGACGGGUGAGUAACACGUGGAUAACCUACCUAUAAGACUGGGAUAACUUCGGGAAACCGGAGCUAAUACCAGAUAACAUGUUGAACCGCAUGGUUCAACAGUGAAAGACGGUCUUGCUGUCACUUAUAGAUGGAUCCGCGCCGCAUUAGCUAGUUGGUAAGGUAACGGCUUACCAAGGCAACGAUGCGUAGCCGACCUGAGAGGGUGAUCGGCCACACUGGAACUGAGACACGGUCCAGACUCCUACGGGAGGCAGCAGUAGGGAAUCUUCCGCAAUGGGCGAAAGCCUGACGGAGCAACGCCGCGUGAGUGAUGAAGGUCUUCGGAUCGUAAAACUCUGUUAUUAGGGAAGAACAAAUGUGUAAGUAACUAUGCACGUCUUGACGGUACCUAAUCAGAAAGCCACGGCUAACUACGUGCCAGCCGCCGCGGUAA
rnacentral:rRNA from 1 species